GCCGCCGUAACGUAGGGGCUUAGCAGGGCGCAAAGCCGCGCAGCCUGGUAGCGUACAGGCCUGUGGAGCCUGGAGGCCGGGUUCAAAUCCCGGCGGCGGCC
rnacentral:tRNA from 1 species